CUGAAACAUCUAAGUACCCCGAGGAGAAGAAAUCAACCGAGAUUCCGGUAGUAGCGGCGAGCGAACCUGGAUUAGCCCUUAAGCACUCGGUGAAGUAGGUGAACAAGCUGGAAAGCUUGGCGAUACAGGGUGAUAGCCCCGUAACCGACGCUUCAUCGAGCGUGAAAUCGAGUAGGGCGGGACACGUGAUAUCCUGUCUGAAUAUGGGGGGACCAUCCUCCAAGGCUAAAUACUCCUGACUGACCGAUAGUGAACCAGUACCGUGAGGGAAAGGCGAAAAGAACCCCUGUGAGGGGAGUGAAAUAGAACCUGAAACCGUGUACGUACAAGCAGUAGGAGCACCUUCGUGGUGUGACUGCGUACCUUUUGUAUAAUGGGUCAGCGACUUAUAUUCAGUGGCAAGGUUAACCGUAUAGGGGAGCCGUAGCGAAAGCGAGUCUUAACUGGGCGCUCAGUCUCUGGAUAUAGACCCGAAACCGGGUGAUCUAGCCAUGGGCAGGUUGAAGGUUGAGUAACAUCAACUGGAGGACCGAACCGACUAAUGUUGAAAAAUUAGCGGAUGACUUGUGGCUAGGGGUGAAAGGCCAAUCAAACUCGGAGAUAGCUGGUUCUCCCCGAAAGCUAUUUAGGUAGCGCCUCGGACGAAUACUACUGGGGGUAGAGCACUGUUAAGGCUAGGGGGUCAUCCCGACUUACCAACCCUUUGCAAACUCCGAAUACCAGUAAGUACUAUCCGGGAGACACACGGCGGGUGCUAACGUCCGUCGUGGAGAGGGAAACAACCCAGACCGCCAGCUAAGGUCCCAAAGUAUUGCUAAGUGGGAAACGAUGUGGGAAGGCUCAGACAGCUAGGAUGUUGGCUUAGAAGCAGCCAUCAUUUAAAGAAAGCGUAAUAGCUCACUAGUCGAGUCGGCCUGCGCGGAAGAUGUAACGGGGCUAAGCA
rnacentral:rRNA from 1 species